AAAAAAAAAACUACCAAGAGGCCCAGAGUUUGGAGAGAUACAAAAGUAUUGUAUUAGUCAGUAGAGGGAGAGAUAGAUCAGAGAGAGAGAGAGAGAGAGAGAGAGAUCAGAGAGAGAGAGACAGAGAGGGAGAGAUAGAGAGAUCAGAGAGAGAGAGACAGAGAGGGAGAGAUAGAUCAGAGAAAGAGAGAGAAAGAGAGGGAGAGAUAGAGAGAUCAGAGAGAGAGACAGAGAGGGAGAGAUAGAUCAGAGAGAAAGACAGAGAGGGGGGAGAGAUAGAGAGAUCAGAGAGAGGGAGAGAUAGAGAGAUCAGAGAGAGAGAGAGACAGAGAGGGAGAGAUCAGAGAGAGAGAGAGAGAUCAGAGAGAAAGAGACAGAGAGGGAGAGAUAGAUCAGAGAGAGAGGGGGGAGAGAUAGAGAGAUCAGAGAG
rnacentral:lncRNA from 1 species